UCUCCGUAGGUGAACCUGCGUGUAGUGAAG
rnacentral:rRNA from 1 species